GACACACCUCCGCUAUAGACUGAACUGAAAUUUGUCUCAUUCUCUGAAGAAUGUUAUCGAAUGCUCCUGAACAUCAGCAGGAUAUACAUGCUGCAUGGAAAAAUGGGGUGCGAGGACAGUGGUCUAGGCGUGUCUCCAUCUAGCGGGAAAGAUCCCAGUUUGAUGCAUUGUUCCCUUACUCCAAUCCUAGCAAAGGUGAAACAAGGCCACAAAAGAAUGGUAUAUUACAGAUUUACAAACACGGAGAGAAUCUUUCAGACUGAACUGUAGCAGAUAAC